rnacentral:piRNA from 1 species
GCUGAAGUCGAUAUCUUCCUAGCUAGCCAC